rnacentral:rRNA from 1 species
CUGGMUUCAGCCGCGGCGGGUUUUUAAUGCCUAGGAAUCUGCCUGGYCUGGCGGGAUACGUCUCGAAAGGUACGCUAAUACCGCAGACMYCUACGGGAGAAAGCAGCGGACCUUCGGGCUUUGCCUUAUCAGAUGAGCCUAGGUGGAUUAGAUAGWUGGAGAGGAAUGGCUGUCCGGGGCGACGAUCCGUAACUGGUCUGAGAGGAUGAUCAGUCACACUGGAACUGASACACGGUCCAGACUCCUACGGGAGGCAGCUGUUUUGAAUAUUGGACAAUGRGCGAAAGUYUAUCCCAGCCAUGCCGGGUGUGUGAAGGAGGGCUUCGGGUUGUAAAGCACUUUUAGGUGGGAGGGAAGGGAAGUAGAUWAAUACUUUUUAAUUUUGGCGGUACCCGAAAGRAUWAGCCCCCGG